CGCUCUGGCGCCCUCUGCUGGCAGCAAGGAGAGCUGCGGCAUGCGGAUGGCCUGGGCUGCUUUUUCUCCCUCUCUGGGAAUCCGUUUCUCCGCCUCUAGGAGGCUGUCCAUUCUUCAUUGUCCUUACCCCCACUCUCCUUUGGAAUUCAGAUGCUGUGCUGGGUGCCAGAGCACAAAGAUGAGCGAGGGUGCCUGCAUUUGUGACACAGUCCGAAAGACAGGUAAGUUAUUUCUAUCCCUUCGCCCACCCUUUCAGAAGGAAGAAUGCAAACACAUGGUUUGCUCUUACUGGGUACAAAAUCCUUAAUCAAUACUUAGAUCAUUUUGAAAGAGCAUUUUAUGAAAAAUAGUGAUGUCUUCUUUAAAUGCAUUCAGAAUAGGAAGACAUUUAUUAAAAUAUAUUCAAGGAAGAGUUAACUUUCCAGACAAUCCAUUUAAACUGCCGAAGAAGGAGUUCUUGUGGUGGCGCAGUGGAAAUGAAUCCAACUAGAAACCAAGAGGCUGCGGGUUCGAUCCGGUGUUGCUGAGCUGUGGUAUAGUUUGCAGAUGUGGCUCGGAGCUGGCUUUGCUGUGACUCUGGCAUAGGCUGGCAGCUGUAGCUUCGAUUAGACCCAUAGUGCAGCCCUUAAAAAAGCAAAAUACAAAACAAAACAAAAGCCAAAAAAAAAAAAAAAAAAAACUGCAGAAGGAGACUUUCAGGCUGCUCGAGUACUUGCGUAUUUCGAUCUCAAGAGUGUGUCUGGAUCACAGAAGGGGUAACCCCACUAAACCUGUGGUGUUCAGGGGUCCAGUACUGCUCCAGCUGCUUCCUGUAAUAUACAUCUUCAUAAAUCACUUUGCAGCCAGAGGAAGAUGAUCAUAAACAUGCCCAAGAGAAACCAUUACAGGGACUAGGAAGGAGUUCCUACUGUGGCUCAGUGGGUCAAGGACCCAACGUUGUCUCUAUGAGGAUGUGGGUUCAAUUCCUAGCCUGGCAUAGUGGGUUAAGGAUCUGGUGUUGCCUUAAGCUGCAGGUACGUAGCAGAUGCAGUCCAGAUCUGGUGUUGCUGUGGCUAUGGCCUAGGACCCCUAGUGCAGUAAAUGCCAUAUGCCGUGGGUGUGGUUGUAAAAAGAAAAAAUAUUGUAAUUAAAAUACAAAGGGACUGAUGUAUUUGGCUUGAAAAAGACUAAGCCCAACAAUGAGAAUUCUUUUCUUCUUUUUUUUUUGUGUGUAUGUGUGUGUUUUUGCUAUUUCUUGGGCCACUCCCAUGGCAUAUGGAGGUUCCCAGGCUAGGGGUCUAAUUGGAGCUGUAGCUGCCAGCCUACGCCAGAGCCACAGCAACAGCA
rnacentral:lncRNA from 9 species